ACCUGAGCCAUAUAAACUCCGCAUGGAGAAACUGUUCUCUCACGUUUUUUGAGAGAUAUUAUCGAAAUAAUAUUUUAAAACAAAGUUAUAGUUAUAAUAUCACUUUAAGAAAAUAAUAUAUUCCUAAAGUCGAAAAAAUACAACUGCCUACAUGGAUGCGUUACAGUUAAGAAAUUAGUUCAGAGAUUUUCUUCUUCUCUACAAUCAAAUAUCUGAGACAUGUUUUAAGAAAUGUACAAAUACUUUCCUCACUCGAGAAAUCACCUCUGAUGAAGAUCUUUGCGUAAGUAAUUGUG